rnacentral:rRNA from 1 species
UCCAGCUGAUCCUGCUGGCGGAUACUGCUAUCGAAAUCCGACUUAGCCAUGCAAGUCUUGGAGCUCAGCUAUGGGAGUUCCGGCGAACGGCUCAGUAACACGUGGCUAACCUACCCUAAGGAGGUGGCAAUCCCGGGAAACUGGGGUUAAUCCACCAUAGGCAAAGUAUACUGGAAUGUUUCUUUGCCCAAACGAACUGCCCAUGCUAAACAGUUUGCCUUAGGAUGGGGCUGCGACGGAUUAGGUUGUUGGCGGGGUAACCCCCACCAAGCCUGAGAUCCGUACGGGCCUUGAAAGAGGGAGCCCGGAGAAGGGAACUGAGAUAAGGUCCCUAGCCCUACGGGGUGCAGCAGGCGCGAAACUUCUACAAUGCGCGCAAGCGUGAUAGGGGGAUUUCGAGUGCUAGCUCUGCUAGCUUUUGCCAAGUGUAAACAGCUUGGCGAAUAAAGGGGGGGCAAUAUACGUGCCAGCCGCCGCGGUAAUACGUAACCCCUGAGUGGUAUUCACUAAUAUUGGGCCUAAAGCGUCCGUAGCUGGUUUGUUAAGUCUCUUGUGAAAUCAGUCUGCUUAACAGAUUGAAUUGCCAGAGAUACUGACAGACUCGAGGCCGGGAGAGGUAAAAGGAAUUUCGGGAGUAGCGGUGAAAUGUUGUGAUCCCCGAAGGACCUCCAGUAGCGAAGGCGUUUUACCAGAACGGACCUGACGGUGAGGGACGAAAGCUGAGGGAGCGACCGGGAUUAGAUACCCCGUUAGUCUCAGCCGUAAACGAUGUGGACUAGGUGUCCUAGUACCCACGAGGUACAGGGGUGCCGAAGCGAAGGCGUUAAGUCCACCGCCUAGGAAGUACAGUCGCAAGGCUGAAACUUAAUGGAAUUGGCGGGGGCGCACUACAAGGGGUGGAGGCUGCGGUUUAAUUGGAUACAACCCCAGAUAAUCUUACCAGGGGCGACAGCAGUAUGAUGGUCAGUCUGAAGGGCUUACCUGACACGCUGAGAGGUGUUGUAUGGUCAUCGUCAGCUCGUACUACGAAGCGUCCUGUCAACUCAGGCAACGGGCGAGACCCACAUCUCUAGUUGCUACUUUCCUCUUCGGAGGGGGGGCACUCUAGAGAGACUGCGAUUGCAAAAUCGAGGAAGGAGUGGGCAACGGUAGAUCUGUAUGGCCCGAAUCUCCUGGGCAACACGCGGCCUACAAUGGUUGAGACAAUGAGUCACGAACCCGAAAGGGCAAGUUAAUCCCCUAAACUCAACCCCAGUUCAGAUCGAGGCCUGUAACUCGGCCUCGUGAACGCAUGGAAUCCCCAGUAAUCGCGUAUCACUAUUGCGCGGUGAAUAAGUCCCUGCGCCUUGCACACACCGCCCAUCAAGCCAGCUGAGUAGAGUUUGGAUGAGUCGUUCCUUCUUUGGGGACGCCGAUUCUAGGUUCCGCAAGGCGGGCUAAGUUGUAACAAGGUG